AUUGAAAGGGCAGCAGCACACCGCCUUGAUAAAAAGCUUCCCUCUAAAAGCAUCCCAGUAACGACUGCUCAAUUAAAACACUGGAAUGUUUGUUUCCAUGGAAAUGCGAGUCCUCUCAGAGGCCUGUACUGUGAAGCAGGAUGUUGUCCUAUCCAGCCGGUGUUCUCCUCAUCAGGUGAUUUGAGUAUCCCGUUCAGAGGUCAGCUGGUUAAUGGGCUGAGCGCUGGACGCAGCAUCAUCAUCAAAGGAGAAACCAAUCAGAACGCAGAGAGUUUCUGCGUGAACCUGCGGCCAGCGACUGGGUCCGACAUCGCUCUCCACCUGAACCCUCGCUUGAAGAAGCGCGUCUUUGUCAGGAACUCCUUUCUGUCCGACUGCUGGGGUCAUGAGGAGACAGUGCUCGCCUCCUUCCCCUUUACUGCGGGGCAAUACUUUGAGAUGAUCAUCCGCUGCGACUCGCAGCACUUCAGAGUUGCCAUGAAUGGGCAGCACCAGCUCGAUUACAAACACCGCAUGAAGGAGCUGAGCGCCAUCAACCAGGUGGAGGUGAAAGGAGAUGUGAUGCUGCUCGCCGUGAGGGUCCUCUGAGCACCUCCUCGCCAUCAUGAACACCAAACCAUAGAAAAAAAUAAAAUCACUGACGCCUCCUCCGUAACCAUUUAACAGAUUCUAACUUUAUUUCCUCUUUUACUAAAAAAACCCCAUCUGUCUUGUCGAGUGUUUUCAAAAUAAAAGUCUGUCAUUGCUCA